UUUUUAGAUAAAAUCAAUGAACUUUUCUGCAACUAUUUAAUAAUAUGAUUGGAUUUUAGGUGAAAGAGUUGGCAAAAGGGACCAGAAACGCAAGGCACCUGCUCCACCAUCACCGGCUCAGUCUAAAAGACCCAGAAAAUUAAAGGCUUCAGAUUGAUAAAUUGAGGUCAAGGUGAAAUUAAUGUUGCCUGACAAAAACUGCUCAUGAUUGGCAAAUUGUCAUUUUUUAUUCAUCAAAAUCAUGUGUAUUUCUGAAGUUUUAACUCAAAAAUGUGGGCUAGAAUUUACAGUCUUUAACUUACUCCUUUCUGCUGA